rnacentral:rRNA from 2 species
GCGAGUGAAGCGGCAAAAGCUCAAAUUUGAAACCACCUCGGUGGGUUGUAAUUUGAAGAUUGUGUUCUGGGUACGACCACGCCUAUGUUCCUUGGAACAGGACGUCACAGAGGGUGAGAAUCCCGUGCGGCGUGGCCCCCGUAUCUGUAUAGAAUGCUCUCGACGAGUCGAGUUGUUUGGGAAUGCAGCUCAAAGUGGGUGGUAAAUUCCAUCUAAAGCUAAAUAUUGGCGAGAGACCGAUAGCGAACAAGUACAGUGAUGGAAAGAUGAAAAGCACUUUGAAAAGAGAGUGAAACAGUACGUGAAAUUGUUGAAAGGGAAGGGCAUGCCGUCAGAUUGCCAGUAUCGAUUACGGGGGAAGGACAAAAGCUGGGGAACGUGGCCCUCGGGUGUUAUAGCCCCAGCCAAUACUUCCACCUGUGAUCGAGGACUGCUUUUAGGAUACUGGCGUAAUGACGGUACGCCGCCC